UUUGGGUGGGGUGCGGCACACCUGUAAUCCCAGCAAUUUGGGAAGAUGAUGCAGGAGAGUUGCAAGUCUGAGGCAAACCUCAGCAACUUAGCAAGACCCUGACUCAA
rnacentral:sRNA from 1 species